rnacentral:tRNA from 1 species
AGUUAAGUAGCUUAAUGAAAGCAUAUAUUUUGAAAAUAUAAGAGAAAGGUUAAAGUCCUUUAUUAACUU